CCUACGGGCGGCAGCAGUGGGGAAUAUUGGGCAAUGGAGGAAACUCUGACCCAGCAAUGCCGCGUGAAUGAAGAAGGUCUGCGGAGUGUAAAGUUCUUUAGGCAGGGAAGAAUAAAAUGACGGUACCUGAAGAAGAAGCAUCGGCUAACCACGGGCCAGCAGCCGCUGGAAUACGUAGGGAGCAAGCGUUGUUCGGAAUGACUGGGCGUAAAGGGUGCGUAGGCGGUUAUACAAGUUAGAAGUGAAAUACCCAGGGCUUAACUCGGGUGCUGCUUCUAAAACUGUAAGACUUGAGUGCAGUAGAGGUUAGUGGAAUUCCUAGUGUAGCGGUGGAAUGCGUAGAUAUUAGGAGGAACACCAGAGGCGAAGGCGGCUAACUGGACUUCAACUGACGCUGAGGCACGAAAGUGUGGGGAGCAAACAGGAUUAGAUACCCGGGUAGUC
rnacentral:rRNA from 1 species